rnacentral:tRNA from 1 species
CCCGUGGUGUAGUGGUUAACAUGCCUGCCUGUCACGCAGGAGAUCGCCGGUUCGACCCCGGAGCACGGUA